rnacentral:rRNA from 1 species
UACAGAGGAGCCAAGCGUUGUCUGGAUUGACUGGGCGUAAAGCGCACGCAGGCGGGUGUGCGCGUGGGGGGUGAAAUCUGGCCGCUUAACGGCCAGGCGCCAUCCCAUACGGCACGCCUGGAGUGAUGCAGAGGUCGAUGGAAUUGCCGGUGUAGUGGUGAAAUGCGUAGAUAUUCGGAAGAACACCAGUGGCGAAGGCGACUUACUGGACACAUAUUGACGCUGAGGUGCGAAAGCGUGGGGAGCAAACAGG